UACGUAGGGUGCGAGCGUUAAUCGGAAUUACUGGGCGUAAAGCGUGCGCAGGCGGUUUUGUAAGACCGAUGUGAAAUCCCCGGGCUCAACCUGGGAACUGCAUUGGUGACUGCAAGGCUUGAGUGUGUCAGAGGGAGGUGGAAUUCCGCGUGUAGCAGUGAAAUGCGUAGAUAUGCGGAGGAACACCGAUGGCGAAGGCAGCCCCCUGGGUCAAGAUUGACGCUCAUGCACGAAAGCGUGGGGAGCAAACAGG
rnacentral:rRNA from 1 species